CUUAGUUCAGUUGGUAGAACGUAGGUUUCCAAAACCUGAUGUCGAGGGUUCAAGUCCUU
rnacentral:tRNA from 1 species